CUCUCCUUUCUUUAAUUCCGAGUCUCUCUCUAACCAAAACUCUGGGUCUCACUUUCGAAAAUUUCUAAGGUUCUUUUCAUUGCCCGAGUAACACAAAUAAUACCCUCAUUUCAAAUCCUUUUCCAUUAUAUGCUUUCAUUGUUCAGUGAUUUCCGCCUUUCCUUUCUCAGACUCUCAAAUACGGUGAUGUCGAAACGAGAAACAAAUUUACAAACUACAAUAGUGAAGCAGUGUGGUCGCGAAUUCGGUCACUAGUGAACAUCCGGCGGAGAUUCCGCGGUGGUGGCGAAGUCACACAGUUUUGAGUAUCUUCCUCUCUUUCUCUUUUAAUUCAGACUUUGUUGGUAUUUUCUUGCUAUAUUUUUAUUUGAGUAUGAAAUUUAUGUUGUUCAUGGUAUUGCUGUAUUGUUGAUGAUGAAGGGUGCUUUUGAAAAAUGGAGGUUUGAUUUUGUAUUGAUGAUGGAGAAAAUGAUUCAAAAAUUGAAGAGUUUGGAUGGGGGAGUUUGAGAGUUCAUUUUGUUUCUGCUUAUGUUCUUUUCUGUUGUGUGUUGUUGAGUUCUUGGAUUUUGAUUUACACACAACAACGAAAUUGAUGUUGAUGUGGGUUUUUGGACACUAACAAAUAUUGUGUCAUACAAGUUGUUGAAAUUUUUAUACCAGAAGUUAAAAUCUGUCCAAAAUAUGUGUAUUCUAACAGAUUUUGUAUUGUGCUUCAUGUGUCUUCAUGUCCAUGUUCAUGUUCUGUUUUCUGGUUAGUUUAGAUGCAUUUCAUGUGUAAUUUUUUCCAUAUAUGAAGACACAACCACAAUAUCACCGGGAAAGGUCAGUUUACGUGUUAAUAUUGGCAACUGUGACGAAUGGGGUUGGGUGCUAUUUGAUGGUUUCAGAUAUUUAACACCACCAGAGCUAACAAAGACUGUAUCGCAACCCAUGCUGCAAUGGGAGGUGGAACUGACAUGAAUCUCUUCGGUCUCCGAUUACCAACAAGAUGCUUUGGUGUUGCGAUAGCGGGAUAGUAUGUCGUUACAUUUGCUGCAAGUCUAGCUUGUCAAUGUGAGAAGUUUUUCUAUGUGGUUUUUAUUGGGUAUAAUUUGUGUGAUAUAGGAUGUUUUGGUUUUCUUUUCUGAAAUAUGCAUUUAGAGAAAUAUGCACGUGUAAGCUAAAUUUAGCUUCUUUAACCUGGGGUUGUUGCUCUUUUAUAGGAUCUGGUUGAAUUCGGACUGCAAUAUACUAAGAGUUCGUAAAUGACCACAUUUCUAACUUAUAUUAGUUAUAGGAUUUGGUUGAAUUCGGACUGCAAUACAGGAUUUUGUUUUGUAGAUUGAAACGCAAAGACGCUCGAAUGGGAAAAAAAUAAUAGAAAAAAGCUGCUAAGGGUCCUAACAAACCCCAUUGUCUUCAUAAUUUUGCAAUCCUUAUUAUAAAAGGGCCUUGAAACUAUUGCCUCUUGACUCUCUUCUAAAUUAUUCUUGUGUUUUUAUCAUCUUAGGGAUAUGCAAAGGAAUAGCAUAUUGGUUGAAUAUAAUGGUUAAGUCAAACCGGAAGACUUUGAUAUGGUUAAACAUGUAAUAAGUUUAUAAUGUGACUCAUGCUGCUGUUUAUAAUAGUUAAAUCAAAGCGGAAGACUUCGUAUUUCAUCAUGUAAAGCUCUUCAUUUCUGGACAUGGCUUUUGAUUGUUUACCACUAUAACUGAUAAAAUGUGUGUUAAUCGUUUUUUCUGGUUUGCAGACGUGUCUGACUCUGUUAUGUUAUUUAUUUGUGAUCCAAGUGAUAUGCAUGCCAAAACAAUUUACACAUAACAUGCAGUUUUUUAAUAUGUCUUGGCUUGUGAUUGUCUUAGAAAAUAGUUUGAAACAAACAAAGAGAAAAAGAAUGACAUGCUUGGAGCAUUGUUGGUGACAGAUGAACAAUUCUCAUAUGAGGAAAGAGUUGAUUUUAUGUUGGCAUUGCUUGUAGCUGGUUACAAAGCUACUUAUACUAUAAAGUCUUUGGCCAUCAAGUUCCUCAUUAAGAUUCCAUUAGCUUUGGCACAGUUUAAGGUACAUAAUUAAUUGCCACAAUAUUUGGCUGAGAUAUAAAUGCAAUGAAUAUCAAUGAAUUUGUAUCUCAAUAUAUGCAUACACACUAUUUAGUAAAAUGAAAUUCAUAUAUCCUUGUAAAUGCUCAUAUGUUUAUAUUUAGUAUAAUGAUUCACGUUGCUUGAAUAUCAAUCUCUUUACUAAAUAUGUUUAUAUAUAGAAAAAUGAUUCAUGCUGCUUGAUACAUUGGAGUGGGUCACAAGAUAUAGCCCUGACUGGGGGAACUGAUGUGAUACAUAACCAUAAAUUUUACUUUUUAAUUGGUUUUAUUAUUUCUAAGUUCUUUAACAUACUUUAACUCUACACAUUAACCAUGAUAUAAUAUUAGACCUAAAAGCAUAUUAGACUUAGUGUGUGAUCUUCAGAUGCAUAUUAGACUUGAAAGCUAAAGAGGCAGAUAUGCUUGCCUCCCAAAUAGCAGUGCAACAACCCCAACAGCAAGAUCAGCUGCUUUCUACACGAAAUGAAAUGUUGAAGAUAGUGUCAUUAAAUUUUAGUUGGACAUGCAAGUUGCACUCUUGAGGCUGGUGUUAAAAUUUAUUCAUUAAGGAUGGAUUUAUUGGAUUGUGAGACAUACAAAGUCUUUGGUGGGAUGAAUAGAGUGGGACAAGAAGCUAAGCAAGGCUACAGUUAUUACCCUCUUUUCAAGACUAACAAAUUGUUUAAAAAUUUGGCACUAUGACGUAUUUGUUGUGGCUGAGCCUGGAGAUCUUGCUGAGAAGUUUCUACAAAGUGUAAAAUUUUGUUACUUCAUCUCCAGUUGACGAAUCAUUACUUCAUGUUUCUCUGGUAAUUAGUGUAUUGUUUACUGCAUUUAUAAUCAUUAACUAUCUGUUAUAGAUUUAACUUUAUGUGUGCUGGGAAUGCAAAAGUUAUGUCCUUGAUUAGAAAUACAAUAAAUGGAUGAAGAAAUUUUGAAAUGAUUUAAUGUCCGGUUCAUUAAUUGAUUGCGUUAAAUUUCUACAUGGUUGACGACUUUGAACUGGCAAAGUCGCAGCAUGAUGGAGACACUGAAGUAGAAAAUCAUUUAUUGUGGCAUUUGGGUUUGUGUCGUUUAAUUCAUUAUUCUUUUAUUUCAGUUUUUUUCUUUCUAAUGGUUUGUCGCCUUUAAUUUGCUGAACUUUUCUACUAUCUUGUUGUUACAUUGUCUCAUGAAGGAUUAAGAUUAAAGUUUAAAUAUUAUCUAAGCAUCCAAUCAUGUGACUUUAAAAAUAGCUUAAAGAUGUUUUAGGGAUUGAUAUAAAUAUAACCAAGUUGUAUAACAAUGAGAUGAUUCAGUGAGGUACACUUCUAGAAAUACUCGUAUUACCGGUUGAAUUUUCUGCGGAAAUUAUUUCGCAGGAAAAUC